rnacentral:lncRNA from 1 species
GCCUGUGGCUGACAGCGAGUAUGAGGCAGAGGGCUUGGAGUCGUCAGUUCAUUCAUUGUCCAUAAGAGUAGAAUAUCAUCGGUAAGGGGACUUUACAGACUGUACAGCAUACAACACCCUCUGUCCUUAGACCCUUGCAGUGCACAAGGAAAAACUCUCCAAAAGUAACUCCACAAUUAACGGGGAAAAGACGUGCAAUGAAUGUCGUGUGUACAGAAUAUACAACAUAAUAAAGUUACAAUAUAGACAAUCCAUACGACUAAAAAGAUUAUGUGAACAUGUAUGAAAAAGAUGGAUCAUAGGUGCCGCUAAACUAAAUGCGGACUAGUGUUCGGGGUGAUGACGUUUAGUAGUCUCAUUUAGCCAGCUGUUAACAACCGCGUAAAAGCUUCAAAAUUCAAGAGUGGGGUAUUUACUGACAUAUUUGUUUUUGUAGACCAAAACUCUAAAAUCUCAUAAGCUUGUCCUCACCAGCCACUUAUUUCAAAUAUACAACCAAAGGCCAAUUCAAAAAACCCAUCAACUUCGAGACAAGGAAGUGCAACAAUACUAACUAAUUUCUGUGUUUUAGGACUCAUUCCUGCAGCCCUCUAUUGUGAAAUAAGAUGAAGCUUUGCAGCUUAGUGAUCACAUACCUAUGUAUUACACUUCAUGGGUGCUUUAUCACAGGUUGUUUUCUGUGUCAGGUCAUUUGAGUAUUGUCUGAAGUGGAAAAGAUCCAUGUAUCCCCGACGCUCCUCCAGCCGAUCGAAGGCCUCCAAGAGGAGCCCCCAGAGAAGUCCCAGCCCAACUGAAGAAGUUAUCCAGCGCAGGCUGAAGGGUAAGAGACAGAGGACAGGGAUGAAAAAGACCAAAACUGAUGAGUGGAGGGACCGCGACAUCAUCGACGUCAUCAACAGCACACGUGAUGCAAAAGGUGUCGCCGAGGAGGAUGAAGGAAAGUUUGUAGAGAUGACGGAUAAAGUGGACGAGUUGGAUGAAGACUGCGUCUCUGUCACCAGCAGCAUAGAUUCUGGUCCUUCCCUCCAACAUAACGCCUCUUCCAAGAAACUGUCGCCCUCACAGGGCUUGUGCUCAGCCUGUAGGACUCUCUACCAGAAGGCAAAGAAGAUGAAAACACAAAUGAAAGACAAACGCUUAGACAAUGAUCCCAAGUCCCUGACAUGUGACCAGUGGGUCCUGAUCAAGAGCUGGAGACCGAGGAGGCUGCCUAAUAUAAAAGGGAAGCUUUUGAUCGAUGUACAGCUGCUUAAGAAAAGGCUUAAGGUCAAGAAUGGUGCAAAGCGAUUUGCGCAAUGUGUGAGAGAGGGAGAAUCAUCAGCCUGCUCCAGGCCGCACUCUUUCCUUGAGAGGAACCUUAGACGCCAUGUCACAGGGCCAGUGAAAAGGGAGAUGAAGAACAGGAGGAAGAGGACAAGAGAUGGAUCUCAGGGUCCUCGCGUCGCUAAGCAGCAGCGUCUCCACAGCAACAAUCGCCUCCAAAACAUCAGUAUUAGCAGCAUCGAUGAGAGCGGCCUUCCCUCGCCCAGCUGUCCCAGUAGCAGUCCUGGUUUUGAGGAUCAGCAAGAUGAAGAAGAUGACAUACAUCUGACUGAGUUGAUCCCCACCACAGUCUCCCUGGAAAUCACGAAGCCAAGAAAACUCCGACCCAAUCAGAAAGCACCACAGAAGACGGGAGGAUUCAGAGACUUGCUUGCCCAGCUGCGUGGAAACAGCAGCAUGAUCGUGAAAGAAACACGUUUGCGAGGCGACUGCGUUUAACAGCUGCGGUAUUCAGAGAAGUCUUCCAGCUCUGCUUUUACUUGUGAUGUUUGUUGUUUAGUCUGCUUAUUAUUCUGUUCUGAAUUCCAGACUAAAUACUUGUUCCUGUUGAAUUUAUUGGAAAAGUUUUGCUGCAGUUACACAUACUUGUUGUUUUGUUUUUUUUCUUGAAUUUCAAAAUAGCAUUUUAUUUAUCAGUACAACUGUGAAUAAAUGAGUGUUUUACUUUAAUGCUGCUUUAACUGUACCCCUAUGAUGGAUAGAUGUAAUAUUUCCAUCACAUGUAGACCUACAUGAGCACUUUCAGUAAGACGAUCACAUACUAAUUCAAUGCAGCUUUUGAGUGUGUGGUGGCUUCACUGAAAAGUGAAAAAAUAAAGUAGUCUAAAAAAAAAGUCAAUUUGUCUUGGUGUUGUAGCACAUGCAAGUCGAGUUUGAUGUCCUAUUGCUUAUUACACAAAUCAAAUCAAAUUUAUUUGUAUAGCCC